CACAAAGAUUGCUCUUCAUCACACAAUUUUUUUCUUCCCAGUUUUCAUGCGGAUUAUAGGGUCACGCUCUUCAUCACUCAAAUCUCUUCUUCCCAGUUAUUCUGGUAAUUUGAAUUUGUUAGAGGGCAUGAAAGAGUGGUUUGUGAUAGAGGGGGAAGAAGAAGAAGAUGUUGACCAAGUUCGAGACCAAGAGUAACCGAGUGAAGGGGCUUAGUUUCCACAGCAAGAGGCCCUGGAUCCUUGCGAGUCUUCAUAGUGGUGUGAUUCAACUAUGGGAUUACCGCAUGGGAACCCUCAUCGACAGGUUCGACGAGCAUGAUGGCCCCGUUAGAGCCUUAGAGGUGUUCACUUCCACAAUUCUCAGCCUCUCUGUCUCUGGAGAUGCGGAACCUAGCGGCGGAGAAACAACGGCUCAUGCCAAAAACGACGCUAGUUGAGAAGAUCCCGGAAAAGAUCAUUGGCGGUCUGGCAGGUACCGCUAAACCUUCCUGGAUAUCGGCCGUGUAGUCCGAACCGCCUCGAAUUUGGUGUAUAUAUCUUCAUACUAACCCUCCUGAUUUCACUUAACCUCUUGGCGCGAACGAAAGCACGAGCAGAGGCGCGAAGAGCACCCAACCUCCCUCUGGCGCAACCUACCCGCGAGUACACCCAGAAACUUCUGCCAGAAACCCGUCACUUCAUUUUGGUAGCAAGCCAAACACGAGCGGGAGCAGAGCCGCGUACCAUCUGCUCCACUCGGCGCUUCCGUCUUCGCCGUCGAAUCGCGCAGCGGCCAACCGUGGUUCCAUCACCAGCGACGAAGUUGAGCAUCUCACUGGCGGUGCGUGAAAUCCCAACACCGUCCUCUCCAGUGCGCGAAUCCUAGCUAUCGCUACCUCCCACUUUCACCGGUUUGUUCUUCCACAUUGAGCUUUUCUUGUGGUUUUCAUUAUUGGUUCAGAGUUCUAAACAUGGAUUUGGGUAUAUCUUCUAUAAAUUGUGGCUAAUUGAAGCGAUUUCGAGUUAGGGAUUUGAUUCAGUACGAUUAAUUAGCAGAUUGCAAGUUUAUCUUCCAAAAGAUAACAAAUAUUAUAGUAUAAUACCUCUGUCCAUCAUCAUCAACGAUGAAUUCCUCUGUUAUUCCCUUGUAUUAUUAUUUAUGUGAAAGUUGAAAUUGGUACUUAAUUAGUUUUUGCAGUUAGAUACCUUGGCUCGUUUAUAUACUAAUUAUUCUUAGAGAACUUGAUUUACAUAAGAUAGGAUUUUGGGCAAUUUUCCAAGUAUGAAAAUUGAUGGAGAUAUUA